rnacentral:pre_miRNA from 9 species
UUUCGAUAGCGUAAAAGUUAACUCAAAUUAGUAUGGAAUUGGAUACGUUUGCCUACGUUUACCGCUAGGGGCGCUGUACACACUGCAUACAAAUUUGAGUUAACUUUUACGCUAUCGA